GGGAAAGUUAACUUUAAAAUGUGUAUAAAAUAUAAAUACGUAACUUUCUUCCAUUUUUUCUGAUAAAUCACAAGCAAUCUGCAGACAAUAGAACAUAGUAGGGUAGCGUGCUCAGCAUGAUUUAGACAAGCAUUCAAAUGACACGUCUAAUCGAGUAAUUUAGGCUCCAACUAAACAGCAACACCUUGGGGAAAAAAAAUAAUGCAUGGUGAGGUUUUUUACAAAUGCAAUCAGUGAAAGCUUGGCAUCUCUACCCAUGUUUUGAUGGCACAGGAACGGGGCCUCUGGGCCAAGUUCCUUGCUGGCGUGUGUGGGUGUAGCCCCACUGUCGUCAAUGCUUUACCAGUGCUGAAUGCAACUGUGGGAGCGCGAGCAGGUAAACAGGCUCACGUACUGCAGUCACCUGGCACGUGACACUGUGCUGACAGCAGGCAGAGCGCUCGUCCCCCUCCAACACGGUUCUCAUGGUAAAGAACGUAACUCUUCUUAAUUUCUACCUUCAGCUAUGUUCUGUGACAUGGUCCAGCCACAUGUCAGUAUGGCAACUGUGCGACAGCUCGCAGGGGUCUGAAGACAGGGAUAGCGCAACUCUCCUGAAAUUGCCUUACUGCAGCACUCCGAGAACAUAAUUAAAGAGCAGAAUAAAGGAAAUGAAUGCAGAUCAGAAGAGAGGGAAUCAUCUGGCUCACUGAAUAGAAAACGCAGGUCCAAGGCAAGCUCAGCAGUAACUGCUGAAACACUCUCCUAGUCUCUCAACAGCGAGGUAAGCACCUGGCCAGAGCAAACAGCCAGAGCAAACUCAGUCUGGACAGGGGAAUACUGCUAGCAGGUACAGGCCUGCCCCAGCUCUGUACAGACCUAAACCCAGCCUAAAUUAUUUUCUUAACAAUUAAACCUAUUAAAAACACCCGCAUGCAUGUUCUUAUCUAAGUUUAUUAAGCCAUCUCAGAAUUAAAACGUGUCUACAGAUGAUCCUGCUGAA